AGAGUUUGAUCCUGGCUCAGGAUGAACGCUGGCGGCGUGCCUAAUACAUGCAAGUCGAGCGAACAGACGAGGAGCUUGCUCCUCUGACGUUAGCGGCGGACGGGUGAGUAACACGUGGAUAACCUACCUAUAAGACUGGGAUAACUUCGGGAAACCGGAGCUAAUACCGGAUAAUAUAUUGAACCGCAUGGUUCAAUAGUGAAAGACGGUUUUGCUGUCACUUAUAGAUGGAUCCGCGCCGCAUUAGCUAGUUGGUAAGGUAACGGCUUACCAAGGCAACGAUGCGUAGCCGACCUGAGAGGGUGAUCGGCCACACUGGAACUGAGACACGGUCCAGACUCCUACGGGAGGCAGCAGUAGGGAAUCUUCCGCAAUGGGCGAAAGCCUGACGGAGCAACGCCGCGUGAGUGAUGAAGGUCUUCGGAUCGUAAAACUCUGUUAUUAGGGAAGAACAUAUGUGUAAGUAACUGUGCACAUCUUGACGGUACCUAAUCAGAAAGCCACGGCUAACUACGUGCCAGCAGCCGCGGUAAUACGUAGGUGGCAAGCGUUAUCCGGAAUUAUUGGGCGUAAAGCGCGCGUAGGCGGUUUUUUAAGUCUGAUGUGAAAGCCCACGGCUCAACCGUGGAGGGUCAUUGGAAACUGGAAAACUUGAGUGCAGAAGAGGAAAGUGGAAUUCCAUGUGUAGCGGUGAAAUGCGCAGAGAUAUGGAGGAACACCAGUGGCGAAGGCGACUUUCUGGUCUGUAACUGACGCUGAUGUGCGAAAGCGUGGGGAUCAAACAGGAUUAGAUACCCUGGUAGUCCACGCCGUAAACGAUGAGUGCUAAGUG
rnacentral:rRNA from 1 species